rnacentral:misc_RNA from 1 species
AAAAAAAUGAAGUUCAAAAGUUGAGUGACGGCUAUUAAUAAUUAGCCAUAGAAAUAGAUUAAUAGAUUAUAUUAGAAUCAAACCAUAUUUAAAAAUAAACUAAAAAUAAAUUAUUUAAUUAAAUGCUAAGUCCCUAAUUUCAAAACCGAAAUCCGUGGCCACAAUAGAUCAUACUAUCUUGAAAACCUUGGUUAUUAAGCAAAAGACAUAAAACAAUUUAAAGAAAGACUAAUGAAUUGAAAAAAAAAAAUCAAUUCUCUAAUAAAUUAAAA